rnacentral:rRNA from 1 species
CCUACGGGAGGCAGCAGUGGGGGAUAUUGCACAAUGGGGGAAACUCUGAUGCAGCGACGCCGCGUGAGUGAAGAAGUAUUUCGGAACGUAAAGCUCUAUCAGAAGGGAAGAAAAUGAGAGUACCUGACAAAGAAGCCCCGGCUAACUACGUGCCAGCAGCCGCGGGAAUACGUAGGGGGCAAGCGUUAAGCGGAUUUACUGGGUGUAAAGGGAGCGUAGACGGUUAUGUAAGUCUGGAGUGAAAGCCCGGGGCCCAACCCCGCGUCUGCUUUGGAAACUGUGUAACUGGAGUACAGGAGGGGCAGGCGGAAUUCCUGGUGUAGCGGUGAAAUGCGUAGAUAUCAGGAGGAACACCGGCGGCGAAGGCGGCCUGCUGGACUGAAACUGACGUUGAGGCUCGAAAGCGUGGGGAGCAAACAGGAUUAGAUACCCUUGUAGUC